CAGUGCACAGUUUAAAAAAGAUAACUGUGUUCAGGAACCAGGAGGUGCCUCGUGAUGAAACAACUGAUAGUCAGCCUUCAUUGUAAGUUAUGAUGUGCUGUGGAGUUGCUGGGCAUGGCUUUCUGCUGGCCGGAGCGAUGGCUGAUCACACACACCUGCAGCAGAUUGAGCAAUCAGUACCAGGUUAAAAGCCCUGGCAUCCUCCACUCCUGCUGACAGAUCAUUUCACCAACCAGACGCAGUCCAUGGUCUCCCAGUGCUAAGUGCUGUUUGGAUACUCUCUGGCCAGUCCACGACCCAGGUCCCCAUCCUGAGUAUUACCCUGGUGACAUAGGCACUUCAUUUACCCCCUCAGUGUUCCCACGUGUUUGACUUACAACUCUCCACUUCCACCACUAAUAGAUCCCGCACAGCAUAUGUAAUGAAUCUUCUGAUUGGCCACGCAGCUCAGUGGAUCACAGCCUUAUGAGAGGGUGAAUCUGCAGUGCUUGAUAAAUAUUCAACCUUUAUUAAUGAGAUGCGUAAGGUUUUUGACCUUCCUGUACAGGGUUCAGAGGCAGCUAGCUGCUUGGUAGUGCUACAGCAGGGCACAAAGUCAGCAGCAGCUUACUCUGUUGAGUUUCACAGCAGAAACUGGGUGGAAUGAGUGAGCACUCAAGGGGAUUUUUUUAUCAGGGGUUGUCAGAUUGUCUUCACAGUUUAAGUUAGCCUCUCGUGAUCAGCCUGCCUCCCUAGAGGAGUUAAUUUCCCUAGCCAUUCGCAUUGAUUAUCGCAUCUGAGAACAGUGAAACAGAGUUUUCUCACCUCAUGUUUGGCCAGCCUUGCUCCCAACCAACCCUCUCACUCAUCCGCUGAACAAUGUCCAGCUCCCCGUCUGACCCUCGAUCCCAGAGUUCCCCCUUGUUGCCCAGGAGGAACUCAUGCAAGAAGGACGCCCUCACCUCUCAUCAGAGGAGCGCCAAGCCCCACAGCAGAAGGAGUGUGAUGCUCAGUAUUUGUGACCACACCUCCAUAUGACAGAGGCAGAUCAGGGGCAGAUUACAGACGUCCAACAUUCCCCCACAAACAAGCACUUGGCAGCAGUGGUUGUAGGACCCAGAAGUGGACACAAGGCAGGGAAUGGAGUUCAAGGUAAUUUACUGAACAGAGCAAGGUUCCUGCAGGUGAAGAUGGGCUGACACUCAGGCUUGAGUCUCUGUAUCCGAGGUGGAAACAGGAGGAGAUGGUGUUCAUGGUGGUGCUGGUGGACUGUGGAGUGAACGGACACUCAGGAUCAUCUGCCUUACAGUCUGCCAGCCAGCCGUUCCCACCCUGCCAUCUUCUUUGUUUAUCCCCUGCUCUGCCAUUCAUCUCAGUCGUCUGUUCUCAAUACUCCCUCGUCAUCAGCCUUCAUCAACUCCAGUCUGUCUUUCCAGUAGACUACAGUGCUCUGUCCUUCACUUGUGUUUUAACAAUGGUGAGGCAGUUUUCUUCUUAUGCAUAAUGGGAAGACCAAAACCUCCUCUUGACGCCCAGCCCUGAGGGACUGCACUGUGCUGACCAGUGAUUCUGCUGACGUGGCCUAAGAGAAGGGCUUAAAGAGCUUUUCAACUGCAUCUCAUGUUUUUAAGAUGAUUUGCUCAGUUGUCAUGGAGAUGAAGGGAUCCUGGAAUAUCAUUGUUCUUUGUAGAUAUUUUGAAGGGAGGUUAGCUUGUUACCUGUCUCUUCCUCUCAUGAUUGUAACUUUUAAAUGAUUGUAGCUUUUAAGCUUUGUACCUGUCAUGUCACAUGUAACAUUGGUGGAAGAGUUUGUUGUUUCAGCUGUAGCAGCUACUUCCAGGCCUGCAGGCCUUACCUGAAGCACAGAGACCUUGACUUACUUUCCACCAUUGCUCUGCGUGUUUCUCACUGUUUUGCUCACUUGAUUGUGUGAUUCUCAUUUUAAACACUGUUCACUGAGCUCAAUGUCAUUUUUAUUUUUCAUUUAAGUAUGAAAUAUAUCAGGCUGCAUUCAUAGCUAUUGCUGCACACCACCUGUAUGCAUCCAUCUCUCCACUUUUCCUCAGCUUUGGCAUCUCAGCAGGUUGAUUAACAGCUCUACAUUGUUUAUCUCUGAACUGUACGAAAUACUACCAGUUCUUCAAAGACAGGUGUGUUAUGCUUUUUGCCCUCUGACCAUUCAAAUAAUCAAGCCAGCAAGGCUCAGCUGUGUCAGUCGGCUGCCUGCCCUGCCUGUUUUCGAUGUUUUGCUGCCCCAACACACCUGGUUCGAGUGCUUGGGUCAUUUUUAAGGCUUCAGCAGAGCUUGAUGAGGGGGCGGGGGACUGAAAAACCCUGGUCUGAGUCUCCUGAAUCAGCAAGGCCCCUGAAGAUGAGACUGUUGUUCAGUCUACAAGCCUGAAUCCCUUUUUUAGGAUUGUUCUUAAUCAUCAUAGAUUGA